UUAUUAGAAGGUCAACCUCCUCAAAAGUCCAACAUCACCAGAAGGCCGAGCUCAUCAUAAAGUCGAGCUUAUCAGGAGGCCGAGCUCAUCAGAAGCUCGAGCUCAUUAGAAAAUCGAUCUCAUCAGAAAGUCAACUUCACCAGAAAACAGAUCUCUGACCACAUGAUAGUAUUAGUUAAAUUGAUUUGUUGUUGAUCUAUGUCAGUUGAGAUCAAUAAAUUAUCGACCUGCAAGUGAAACAUUGUCAUGUCACAUUAGUUGGUCUGAAGGUUCACUAAAGCCGCGUUAAUUCAGAUUGGAUGAUUAUCGAUCCGUUGAUAUGGUAUUCAAUUCCCAGCAAGGGGACAUCAAAUUUGACCAACCUUAUCAGGCUUAGCCAACCUGCUCAAUUUAUAUUAGCGGGACAUCGGUUUUAGUGGACCUCUCACUUAGCUAGC
rnacentral:lncRNA from 1 species